ensembl:lncRNA
AGUAGUUUCACUGCCCGAAGUAUUAUCUGGAACAUCUAUUUUGUGUUCAAAUCAAAUUCUUUGCAGUGAUGAGAUGGGUUUUGGACAUCCACUGCAGCCAGGGUAAUGCCUUCCUCCUGCAAACAAGCACCUAUGAAGGUGUCUGUGUGUGGCAUCUCUCGAUGGUGAGUCCUGGGGUUUUGGCCUGCUAUUGUCAGACCCCACCGCGCUGGACAUGAGUGCAGGAAAUCUGGAGUCCAGAAAUCAAUGAAUAAAUUGCCAUCAUCCAGUGAAUAAAACAGUCGUCCAGUCAUCUGACAAGGAAGAUUUACUUAAAUGAACCAGCUCUGAGUCCAGCAGGGCUACUCACAUGACGACAGAAGAGUGAACAGGGAGAGGCAUUCCCUAAGGCACAGUCAAAAGGGCACAGAGGCAAGGCUGUGGAAUAUGAGGUUUGAUCAGUGUCUGAAAGGGACAUAUCCCCAACUUGCAUGAGAUCAUCGUGAGUGAAACUGUCUUUGAGUGUUGAAAAUUCAGUCCUGCAUUUUCAAGGCCAUGUAAUUGAGCAAGAAGUGUACAGAAUCAAAGCACCCUGAAAAGCUUAUGAAAUAGAGAUGACAUUGGAAGUACAGAUUGAAGGAUGGGCUAGGAGGAAGCAGACAAUCCAAAUGUGCAAAGAGAAAAAGAAAGGAUAAACUGAAUGCUGAAGGUUAUUGCAGGGAUGACUGGUGAUGGUGUAGAGUGAUCAGAUUUUUUUCUCUUUUCCAGCCAGAAGUCAUUGUACUCGUUUUAGAAAAGUUAUAUUCAUAUGAUUGAGAAGAUUAAUUAACAUCUGUCCUGUGGUUUUAAGGAAGAAACUGACAGUCCAAAAAAAUGAAAGUGAAGUUGCGAUCUCAAGUAACUGGGAAUUCAAAUUCAGCAUCGCACAGUGGCAUAGCUGCUCUGUAGACAAUAAAGUAUUUGAAAGUCAUCUUUUCCUUGGCAUUUUGAAUAACAAGUUCAGUGAGAUAAAGCACAAUGAAGAUCUUUUGAAGAAGCAUCUGGAAUUCAUCUGUGUAAAGAAAUCACAAAAUCAUGGGAUUGCAGUGACUCUGUCAUCACUGGAUUUCAGCAGAAGUGUGGCACAUCCCAGGAUAGAUUCCACCACUGUGGAAGCACAGCCCUCAG